UGAAGCAUGUGGUGUGCUGGAUCCCUUUCACCGGAGCCGGUGACAGAUUGUGUCAGAAAUAUCAAAUAAGAAAAUGUAUGCGGUACGCCAGUCACGUGGCGAGCUGGCUGCCAAAACCUGAUCGAGUCCUGCGCCGGCCGUGGUUGGUAAAGCCCACACGCCCACCCCCGGUGAAGUACGCCGCUUCCUCCGCUGCUUCUUUCCGUCUCUCUUUAAAUUCGAAGCAGAGCUCUCUUCGUGACGGUUCAGCGAGCGGAAGCAUUGUCCUAUUCCGGCCGAGAUCCUCCGCGCGGUGGUCGGACGGACGUACGGGAUAGGGUUUGCACGGGAUGGGAGCUGAGAGCUCGGAGAGCUUGUGGUUCGCUUCGAAUCCUAGCAAGAGAUGGGGAGAGGCCUUCUUUUUGCUCUACACGCCCUUUUGGCUCACCCUCUGUCUCGGGAUCAUCGUCCCCUAUAAGCUUUAUGAGAAAUUCACAGAAUUGGAGUAUCUUAUCCUCGGGUUGGUUUCCGCUGCCCCAGCUUUCUUGAUACCACUUCUGAUAGUGGGAAAGGCAGACAGCGACAAAUUCUGGAGAGAUCGGUAUUGGCUGAAGGCAAAUUUGUGGAUUAUAAUUUUUAGCUAUGUUGGAAACUACUUCUGGACUCAUUAUUUCUUCACGGUUCUUGGAGCAUCAUACACUUUUCCAUCAUGGAGGAUGAACAAUGUUCCACAUGUAACUUUCCUUCUUACUCAUUCGUGUUUUCUAUUUUACCACAUGGCGUCUAAUAUAACACUUCGUAGACUGCGCCAUUCCAUUGCUGAUUUGCCACAGUCAAUUCGAUUGGUUACUGAAGCUGCAUGGAUAUUGGCUCUUUCUUAUUUCAUUGCUUACUUGGAGACUUUAGCUAUUUCAAAUUUUCCUUACUAUGAGUUUGUUGAUCGGGAAUCAAUGUACAAAGUGGGAUCACUCUUCUAUGCAAUUUAUUUCAUCGUGAGCUUCCCUAUGUUCUCAAGAGUCGAUGAGAUAGAUGAUGAACCAUGGGACCUUCCAAGAGUGGCUGUUGAUGCAUUGGGUGCCGCGAUGCUUGUAACUAUAAUACUUGAUUUAUGGCGAAUAUUUCUUGGACCGAUAGUUCCCAUUCCAAAGUUAGGGCAAUGCAGUAGUCAGCCAGGGCUUGCAUGGUUCCACAUGCCACAAAGCUUCACUCAGAAUCAAAGCAUGUGACUUAUAGGCCCGUGAUGAAAGUCCUUUAGUCCAAUGGUUUGAUGUUGACGCAUCAUCAAUUCCCUCUCCGACAGACGGGAAGCGUAAAAGCCCAAAAGUCAACCCAAUCGCCAUCUCCUCCUGCGUUGUAGCGCCCACAGCUCCGCCGAUGGAUCCGAAGAACGGCUUCUGCCCUGCCACCAAGACCUUCCUCAGCGUCCGUCCAUCCUCUCACACUGCCCCUGGCCGCCGCCCCCUUCUCCGUCGCCGCUUACGCCCGCUCCGCCCUGCCCUCCUCGACGCCUCCACUGCUGCCGCUAUCCCCCUACCACCUGUUCCUCCCCCAGGUCCGCUCCCUCACCGCUGCCCUUCGCUCCCAUGCCCGCCUCGACCUCCCUGUCCUCGACUCCGCCCUUCUGUCCCUCGGCGUCGCCACCCCCGCUGAGAUCGCCCGCCUCCUCGACCUUUCCCGCCCAACCAUCGCCUUCGCCAUCGCCAUCGCCGGAAUCUGAUCGGAUCGAUGGCGCCGUUCGUGGCGUCAGCAGUGCCGGGAGUCUGCUGUGCUGAUGGUGACGGUGCCACUAUUCCAUGUGUACGGAUUCCUGUUCUGCUUGAAGGCGGUGGCCGCGGGGGAGACGGCGGUGAUCCAGACAGAGAGGUUCGAUGCGAAGAGGGCACUAGCAGCAGUGGGGCGGCUUCGGGUGACGCAUCUCGUGGUGGAUCCCGAGUGAGACAUCGUCUGACCACGAACGAAAGGCUUCGGGGAGAUUACCUUUACGGUUAGACACGCAAGGGUGUCACACGACUUAGUUGUAUGGUGCAGGUUCCACCGGCAGAACUAGAGAGCUUGCUUCGAACACAGCCAGAUAUCAUUGUGGCUGCUGUUGUCCCGCGAGUAAAACUACAAGUAUCUUAUUAAUGAAAACUAAACUUGGGACCAAGUUCUUGUUGCGGCUUGGUAAUAUGUCAACAAAUAGCAUCUCCCACAGGGUUUCUUUGACGGAUACCCAUGAGGAAGCAAGUCAAGUUUCUGUCGCAUUUGUUGUAAGACAGACCCCACAGCACUUUGAAAGAGUCGCAGGUUAUGGAGUUUGUGUCAAAUAAGGUUGCACCUUAUAAGAAGAUACAUCAUUCAUGUUUUCUUUGUGGAGUCGGAACCAACGAAUGCCGCAGGUAAGAUCUUGAGAGAGGCUUUGAUAAGGCUUGCAUCGUCAGAAAUAAAAGCCAAGUUGUAGCUCGAGUUAUGCUCUAUAAUAUUGUGUUGGCUUCUGUGCUUUCCUUUAAUCAA